CGCCGGCGGCUCGAGUGGUGGCCACUUUUAUUGGGUCUAAAGCGUCCGUAGCCGGCUUGGCAAGUCCCCUGGGAAAUCUGGCGGCUUAACCGUCAGGCGUCCAGAGGAUACUGCCAGGCUUGGGACCGGGAGAGGUGAGAGGUACCUCAGGGGUAGGGGUGAAAUCUUGUGAUCCCUGAGGGACCACCAGUGGCGAAGGCGUCUCACUAGAACGGGUCCGACGGUCAGGGACGAAAGCUGGGGGCACGAACCGG
rnacentral:rRNA from 1 species